GUUACAUGUUUAUGCUGCUGUUAUUGGACAGUGUUACAUGUUUAUGGUGGUGUUAUUGGACUGUGAUGUUACAUGUUUAUGGUGGUGUUAUUGGACAGUGUUACAUGUUUAUGGUGGUGUUAUUGGACAGUGUUACAUGUUUAUGGUGGUGUUAUUGGACAGUGUUACAUGUUUAUGCUGGUGUUAUUGGACUGUGAUGUUAUGUGUUAAGGACAUGGAUAAUAUACAUCUUGCUGGUUGUUCUAUGCAUCGUCAUGAACGGACGGCUGAUUCGGGUAAGACGAAGGUAGCGGUGUGUCUCUUUGUUAACAACAGCCGGUGCACAAUCUGUAAUGUCAAGGAAGUCUCAAGUUUUUGCUUGCCUGAAUUAAAGUUCCUCAUGAUAAACUAUAGCCCAUACUAUUUACCAAGAGAGUUUUCAUCUAUAUGUUUUGCUGCUGCCUAUUUACCACCACAAACCGAUGCUGGCACUAAGACUGCAAUCAACGGGCUCUAUAGGGCCAUAACAAAACAAUAAAAUGCACAUCCAGAGGUGGCGUUUCUCGUGGCCGGGGAUUUUAACACAGGAAUACUGAAAUCCUUUUGACCUCAUUUUUACCAGCAUGUCAGCUGUGCAACUAGAGGCGCCAAAACUCUAUAUCACUUUUACGCCACACACAAAAACGCAUACAAGCCCCCCCUUACCCUCCAUUUGGCAAAUCAGACCAUAACCUCCUGCUUCCUGCUUACAAGCAAAAACUCAAACGGGAAGUACCAAUGACACCCUCAGUACAGAAGUGUUACUACGAAGCAGAUGUUAAGCUACAGGACUGUUUUUCUACCACAGACUGGACUGUGUUUUGGGAUUCAUAUGAUAACAUUGAGGUGUUUACCACAUCAGUCACCAGCUUCAUUAUAAUUGCAUCGACAACGUCGUCUCCACAGUGAUCGUAUGCACAUACCCCAACCAGAUGCCAUGGUUUACAGACAACAUCCACACUGAGCUAAAGGCUAGAGAUGCCGCUUUCAAGGAGACAUCCCACCACGAUGUCAGACGAGCCAUCAAACAGACAAAGCAUCAAUACAGGACUAAUAUCCCAUCCUGCUACGCCGGCUCUGACACUUGACGGAUGUGGCAAGGCUGGCAAACUAUCAAGGAUUAUAAAAGGAAACCAAGCUGCGUGUUGCCCAGCGUCGCAAGUCUACCAGACAUGCUAAAUGCCUUUUAUUCUCGCUUCGAGGCAAGGAACACUGAACCAUGCAUGAGAGCACCAGCUGUUCCGGACAACUGUGUGAUUUCACUCUCUGUAGCCGAGGUGAUUUAAGACAUUUCAACCUACCCGCUAGCUGUGCCACCAGAGACCCUGGGUUUGCGCCCAGGCUCUGUCGCAGCCGGCCGUGACCGGGAGGUCCGUGGGGCGACACACAAUUGGCCUAGCGUCGUCCGGGUUAGGGGGGGUUUGGCCGGUAGGGAUAUCCUUGUCUCAUCGCGCACCAGCGUCUCCUGUGGCGGGCCGGGCGCAGUGCAUGCUAACCAAGGUCGCCAGGAGUUUCCUCCGACACAUUGUGGCUGGCUUCCGCGUUGGAUGCGCGCUGUGUUAAAAAGCAGUGCGACUUGGUUGGGUUGUGUUUCGGAGGACGCAUGGCUUUCGACCUUCGUCUCUCCCAAGCCCGUACGGGAGUUGUAGUGAUGAGACAAGAUAGUAAUUACUAACAAUUGGAUACCACGAAAUUCCAAUUUUAAGAAUGUGAAAUGUCAGAAUAAUAGUAGAGAGAAUGAUUUAUUUCAGCUUUUAUUUAUUUCAUCACAUUCCCAGUGGGUAAGAAGUUUACAUACACUUAAUUAGUAUUUGUUAACAUUGCCUUUAAAUAGUUUAACUUGGGUCAAAUUUUUUGGGUAGCCUUCCACAAGCUUCGCACAAUAAGUUGGGUGAAUUUGUGGCCCAUUCCUCCUGACAGAGCUGGUGUAACCGAGUCAGGUUUGUAGGCCUCCUUGCUCGCACACGCUUUUUCAGUUCUGCCCACAAUUUUUCUAUGGGUUUGAGGUCAGGGCUUUGUGAUGGCCACUCCGAUACCUUGACUUUGUUGUCCUUAAGCCAAUUUGCCACAUCUUUGGAAGUAUGCUUGGGGUCAUUGUCCAUUUGGAAGACCCAUUUGUGACCAAGCUUUAACUUCCUAACUGAUGUCUUGAGAUGUUGCUUCAAUAUAUCCACAUAAUUUUCCUCCCUAAUGAUGUCAUCUGUUUUUUGUCAAGUGCACCAGUCCCUCCUGCAGCAAAGCACCCCCACAACAUGAUGCUGCCAUCCCUGUGCUUCACUGUUGGGAUGGUGUUCUUUGGCUUGCAAGGCUCCCCCUUUUUCCUCCAAACAUAACGAUGGUCAUUAUGGCCAAAUAUUUAUAUUAUUGUUUCAGCAGACCAGAUGACAUUUCUCCAAAAAGUACGAUAUUUGUCCCCAUGUGCAGUUGCAAAUUGUAGUCUGGCUUUUAUAUGGUGGUUUUGGAGCAGUGGCUUCUUCCUUGCUGAGCGACCUUUCAGGUUAUGUCGAUAUAGCACUGGUUUUACUGUGGAUAUAGAUACUUUUGUACCGGUUUCCUCCAGCAUCUUCACAAGGUCCUUUGCUGUUGUUCUGGUCUUGAUUUGCACAUUUCCACACCAAAGUACGUUCAUCUCUAGGAGACAGAACGCGUCUCCUUCCUGAGCAGUAUGACGGCUGCGUGGUCCCAUGGUGUUUAUACUGGCGUACUAUUGUUUGUACAGAUGAACGUGGUACCUUCAGGCAUUUGGAAAAUGCUCCCAAGGAUGAACCAGACUUGUGGAGGUCUCCAAUUGUUUUCUGAGGUCUUGGCUGAUUUCUUUAGAUUUUUCCAUGAUGUCAACCAGAGAAGCACUGAGUUUGAAGGUAGGCAUUGAAAAACAUCCACAGGUACACCUCCAAUUAACUCAGGCUAAUUGACAUCAUUUCUCAGAAUCUUUUAAAGCCAUGACAAAGUUUUCUGGAAUUUUCCAAGCUGUUUAAAGGCACAGUCAACUUAGUGUAUGUAAACCUCUGACCCACUGGAAUUGUGAUACAGUGAAAUAAUCUGUUAGCAAUUGAUGGAAAAAUUACGUGUCAUGCACAAAGUAGACGUCCUAACCGACUUGCCAAAACUAUAGUUUGUUAACAAGAAAUUUGUAGAGUGGUUGAAAAACGAGUAUUAAUGACUCCAACCUAAGUGUAUGUAAACUUACCACUUCAACUCUAUCUACUCCUGCACAUCAACUCUGUACUGGUAAUCCCUGUAUAAUCCCUGUACUGGUAAUCCCUGUAUAAUCCCUGUACUGGUAAUCCCUGUAUAAUCCCAGUACUGGUAAUCCCUGUAUAAUCCCUGUACUGGUAAUCCCUGUAUAGAGCCAUGUUCUUCAUUUAUUCCUCGUGUCACUUUCUAUAAAAAAGUAAUUGAACUGCAUUGUUAGAAAAGGAACCGUAAGUAAGCAUUUCACUGUUAGUCUACACCUGUUGCAUGUGACAAAUACAAUUUAAUGUGAUGUUUAUUUAUUGAGUUGAUAGGAAUCAACACCCAUUCAGAGCUUCAGUCAUCACACGAGUCUGGCAUUUGGUGACCUUGUCCCCAGGUAAAUAACAAUGGCAUCAACAGUAGAUCAGACAUAGAGAGGUGGCUGGUGGACAAGAAUAGGCCCAGUAGUAGAAGGUUGUGUUGACCCCUGUGUUACCGCUCCAGAUCUUCCCUGCUGGGAUCCAAUGUGAUUCUGGAUUGUGGCCC
rnacentral:lncRNA from 13 species